ACCUUUCGUACUCCGAAUGCAUCUAGAUUAUUAGUUUGAUCAUGGCUCAGAGUGACACGCUGGCUGUGUANUGCCUAACACAUGCAAGUCGAACGGCAGCACAGUGAGAGCUUGCUCUCUGUGGUGGCGAGUGGCGGACGGGUGAGGAAUACAUCGGAAUCUACUCUGUCGUGGGGGAUAACGUAGGAAACUUACGCUAAUACCGCAUACGACCUACGGGUGAAACGCAGGGGAUCUUCGGACCUUGCGCGAUUGAAUGAGCCGAUGUCGGAUUAGCUAGUUGGCGGGGUAAAGGCCCACCAAGGCGGACGAUCCGUAGCUGGUCUUGAGAGGAUGAUCAGGCCACCAACUUGAAAACUUGAACACGGUCCCAAUACUCCUACGGGAGGCAGCAGUUGGGGAAUAUUUGGACAAUUGGGCUGCAAGCCUGAUCCAGCCAUAACCGCGUGGGUGAAGAAGGCCUUCGGGUUGUAAAGCCCUUUUUGUUGGGAAAAGAAAUCCAGCCGGCUAAUACCUGGUUGGGAUGACGGACCCAAAAGAAUAAAGGCACCCGGGCGUAAACAUUCCAGUGCCCAGGCAAGGCCGGCNGGGUAUCAUACGAAAAGGGGUGCAAAGCCGUUAACUCCGNGAAAUUUCUUUGGGCGGUAAAAUGCNGUUCGUANGUNGGUUACUUAUCAAAGUCCGGUUGUAAAAGGCCCUNGUGGNUUCAAACUUUGGNGAACAGAUGCACUGAGAUCAUUUGCGUUACUAUANAACUUUUGGGUAGAAG
rnacentral:rRNA from 1 species